rnacentral:rRNA from 1 species
AUUGAACGCUGGCGGCAGGCCUAACACAUGCAAGUCGAGCGGUUGAGGGGAGCUUGCUCCCUGAUUCAGCGGCGGACGGGUGAGUAAUGCCUAGGAAUCUGCCUAUUAGUGGGGGACAACGUUUCGAAAGGAACGCUAAUACCGCAUACGUCCUACGGGAGAAAGCAGGGGACCUUCGGGCCUUGCGCUAAUAGAUGAGCCUAGGUCGGAUUAGCUAGUUGGUGAGGUAAUGGCUCACCAAGGCGACGAUCCGUAACUGGUCUGAGAGGAUGAUCAGUCACACUGGAACUGAGAAACGGUCCAGACUCCUACGGGAGGCAGCAGUGGGGAAUAUUGGACAAUGGGCGAAAGCCUGAUCCAGCCAUGCCGCGUGUGUGAAGAAGGUCUUCGGAUUGUAAAGCACUUUAAGUUGGGAGGAAGGGCAGUAAGUUAAUACCUUGCUGUUUUGACGUUACCGACAGAAUAAGCACCGGCUAACUCUGUGCCAGCCGCCGCCGUAAGAC